CUACUCGUUUAUUCUCAUGGUUGAUUCUUCCGGUAAGCGACAGGAGGAAAACUACGCGAUGGCGACUGUAGUUUGAGUGGACAGUUUUUGUUGCCAGUAGCUUGCGUUGACGAGCCCUCAUUUCUAGCGACUGGCGAUUUUCGCAGCUAUUAGGACAACUCUUUUGAAUUCACAUCACUGAAGCUUAUUUACUGUUCUAAUGUUGACUAUGCCUUCGAUGCCUCCCGAUGCCCAUAAAAUAUCCCUCAAAAUAAUAGAGGCCAUACAACAACAUCCAGUGCUAUAUAUUUCUGAAGUCAAAGGGGGAGCAAUAAAGUUGCAAGAAUUUCGCCAAAAAGUAUGGAAACGGAUAUCUAUGGAGUUGGGUUUAGAUCCUGGCUGGAUGAGGCUACGAUGGAAGAAUUUAAGGGAUACAUACUGUCGGAUAUUAAAGUAUAAAAACAAGACUGACAAGGGUAUCAGACGCAAAAAAUGGAUAUUCGAAGAUCACCUGAGCUUCCUCAAGUUUCCUUAUGAAUCGGACUACCAGCCGCAAUGUGUAGAGCUUUCAGAGGAAUACAUACAGGAUAUAAAUUCAAGUGAUGCUAAUACAGACGGGCUUUUAGAACAGCUGGAAGAUAGAAAUGAUGAUGAUUUUACAGAAUAUCUAGAAGUUCUUGAGGAAACUGCAGCGGAUCCUAUAUCAGUUGAAAAUGAUGAUCAUAUCAGCCCAAAAAUAGAGAUUGUUGAAGAAAAUAGUCACUUUCAGCAAAUAGAAAAUAAUAAUGAAAUACAGCAGGUCAUUGUUGCCAGUCCUAUCCAACAAAUCGAAUCGAAGUUCAGAAAGAUAAGACCCAAAAGAGCCAAAUACGAACUUCAGCCUACUAUAGAGGUAUCAAGUAGUUACAGUAUUUUGAAGAAUUCCAAUUCAAAUACGGGGAAUUUGAUUGUCCCAACAACCAGCACGAAUGGUAUGCAAACGGCACCAAUUUACCUGACUAAUGCAUCUGUUAUUCCACCGCCGGUUAGUUCAGCAAAAAAACCAAAGGAAGUAAAAUUGACAGAAGCUAAUAUUGACCAAGUUUACUUGGCUCCAGAAGGAAAGAGUGGCAUAGAACUGUUUUUCGACAGUAUGGCUCAGACGGUGAAACGAUUACCUCCUAAAGCUCAGGCAGAUGUUAAAAUGCAAAUAUGUAAACUUGUCACAGAGGCAGAGGUUAAAUAUUCAGGACAAACCUCAACGCAAAAUACACAACAAUUUAUUGCACCUCCAGGAAUGAUCCCUAAAUUAGUACUUAUACCAUGCAGUAUGAUAGAUAAUGCUAGUAACAAGGGCUAAAAUGCAAUUUACGAAUUUUAGAGUUAUCCUCAUGACAGGAGAUGACAGACUGAAGAGUGUACUUCUCACAACCAAUAUACUAAGUAACGUGGUUCAAACGUUGAAAGGUUCAAAGAAUACUACAUAGCAACCUUAAGCACUGAAUUGUCAUGUUUAAAAAACUUUUAUGGACAUUUAACGCAGAACUGUGCUUGAAACUGGGAAAUUUAUAUUUUUUGUACUAAGACGUUCUACAUACCACAGUUCGCCGGACGUGUGCACGGCUCUGUCAAACGCUGUCACUGCACGAACACAACACACUAUGCAGCUGUCAAAAUAUUCACAAACUAAUGUUCCCACAUAAUCGAUUGAUAAUACGAGCCUGCAGGAACGAACGGAGAAAAAGAUGUGAUAUAUUCUGUUUCAAAGUUCAUGUUUAAAAACUGAUAAAGGCUGCGCCUUGCGUUAGCCAAGAAAAUCAUAAUUUGAAACAUCUUCAAAUUGUUGUGGUUGAGGAUUACCAGGUGCCAUGGGUCGGGUAGGCAUCUGACCUCUGGGGCCUACUAUUUGCUGUUGCAUUCCAAGUACUUGCUGCCUAUAUUGUGGUUGCUGCUGUAACAUAGGACACUGACUUAAAAUAUACAAUUUAUGAACUUUGUAA